CAUGAAGAUGUUAUUGAUCCAUAUAUAUAUAUGGAUCAAAAGACGGAAAAUUGAAGAAAAAGAAAAUAAUAAUAAUACAGAAAAGAAAUCAAAAAAAUAAAUGAAUAUUUAGACAAUUUGAAAUCUUUCCGAACUUUUAAUAAACUCGAAGACAUUUUGAAAAUGGUUUGGUUUUGCUCUAGAGAAAGACAGUUACCAGAGGUUAGUAAUUCUAUGUUAAUUUUACAAUCAUUUGGAAGCCAGCGCAGACUUUCAAAUAUUUUAUUUCGUAUGUCUGAAUAUAAUAUAUAUUUAAAAAAGAAAUGAUAGGAAUUUUCACGGUUAACACCACAGCGGC
rnacentral:lncRNA from 1 species